GGUGGUAUGGUCUAGUGGUAUGACGUCACGUUGUGGUGCUUGCGAAAGCAGUCCCGUGCCAGCCUGGGUUCGAUUGUACGAUCCCUAUCUUAUCA